rnacentral:rRNA from 1 species
UUGAAGAGUUUGAUCAUGGCUCAGAUUGAACGCUGGCGGCAGGCCUAACACAUGCAAGUCGAGCGGUAACACAGGGAGCUUGCUCCCGGGUGACGAGCGGCGGACGGGUGAGUAAUGUCUGGGAAACUGCCUGAUGGAGGGGGAUAACUACUGGAAACGGUAGCUAAUACCGCAUAAUGUCGCAAGACCAAAGAGGGGGACCUUCGGGCCUCUUGCCAUCAGAUGUGCCCAGAUGGGAUUAGCUAGUAGGUGGGGUAAUGGCUCACCUAGGCGACGAUCCCUAGCUGGUCUGAGAGGAUGACCAGCCACACUGGAACUGAGACACGGUCCAGACUCCUACGGGAGGCAGCAGUGGGGAAUAUUGCACAAUGGGCGCAAGCCUGAUGCAGCCAUGCCGCGUGUAUGAAGAAGGCCUUCGGGUUGUAAAGUACUUUCAGCGGGGAGGAAGGUGUUGAGGUUAAUAACCUCAGCAAUUGACGUUACCCGCAGAAGAAGCACCGGCUAACUCCGUGCCAGCAGCCGCGGUAAUACGGAGGGUGCAAGCGUUAAUCGGAAUUACUGGGCGUAAAGCGCACGCAGGCGGUCUGUCAAGUCGGAUGUGAAAUCCCCGGGCUCAACCUGGGAACUGCAUUCGAAACUGGCAGGCUAGAGUCUUGUAGAGGGGGGUAGAAUUCCAGGUGUAGCGGUGAAAUGCGUAGAGAUCUGGAGGAAUACCGGUGGCGAAGGCGGCCCCCUGGACAAAGACUGACGCUCAGGUGCGAAAGCGUGGGGAGCAAACAGGAUUAGAUACCCUGGUAGUCCACGCCGUAAACGAUGUCGACUUGGAGGUUGUGCCCUUGAGGCGUGGCUUCCGGAGCUAACGCGUUAAGUCGACCGCCUGGGGAGUACGGCCGCAAGGUUAAAACUCAAAUGAAUUGACGGGGGCCCGCACAAGCGGUGGAGCAUGUGGUUUAAUUCGAUGCAACGCGAAGAACCUUACCUACUCUUGACAUCCAGAGAACUUAGCAGAGAUGCUUUGGUGCCUUCGGGAACUCUGAGACAGGUGCUGCAUGGCUGUCGUCAGCUCGUGUUGUGAAAUGUUGGGUUAAGUCCCGCAACGAGCGCAACCCUUAUCCUUUGUUGCCAGCGGUUAGGCCGGGAACUCAAAGGAGACUGCCAGUGAUAAACUGGAGGAAGGUGGGGAUGACGUCAAGUCAUCAUGGCCCUUACGAGUAGGGCUACACACGUGCUACAAUGGCGCAUACAAAGAGAAGCGACCUCGCGAGAGCAAGCGGACCUCAUAAAGUGCGUCGUAGUCCGGAUUGGAGUCUGCAACUCGACUCCAUGAAGUCGGAAUCGCUAGUAAUCGUAGAUCAGAAUGCUACGGUGAAUACGUUCCCGGGCCUUGUACACACCGCCCGUCACACCAUGGGAGUGGGUUGCAAAAGAAGUAGGUAGCUUAACCUUCGGGAGGGCGCUUACCACUUUGUGAUUCAUGACUGGGGUGAAGUCGUAACAAGGUAACCGUAGGGGAACCUGCGGUUGGAUCACCUCCUU